rnacentral:rRNA from 1 species
CCCUAUUAUUUUGGAAUGUUAAUCUGUUUAUGUGCCUGAGUAGUAUUAGUUAUGUUCUUGAAACUUAAAGAAUUUGGCGGUAUCUCAUUCCGUCCAGAGGAAUCUGUCUCGUUAUCGAUAGUCCGCGUUGGACCUUACUUAGUUGUUUUAUGGUUUGUAUACCGCCGUUUAUUGAUUAUCUUUUUAGGGUUUAUUUAAUUUUCUGGUUUCUUUAUUUUGGUUUUAUUUCAGGUCAAGGUGCAGCUUGUUUCUAAGUGGAAUGAUGGAUUACAUUGUGAUUUGGUUUUUGGAUUGUUGAGUUUGAAUAUUUACAUGAAAUUGGAUUUGGUUGUAAUUGUUUGUAGAUUGUUAUUGUGAUAAGUGGUUCUGGGAUAUGCACACAUCGCCCGUCGCUCUCAUUUGUUGUUAAUGAGAUAAGUC